GGGGGUGUAGCUCAGUUGGUGAGAGCUUGCCUAGCAUGCAAAAAGCCCUGGGUUCGAUCCCCAGCACCCACA
rnacentral:tRNA from 1 species